rnacentral:lncRNA from 1 species
ACACCAGAUGCCCAACGUUAGGGGGGUGGCUAUGCGGUCAUCUGAAAGACAGAGAAGGGGUUACAUGACUUCUUUAUUUCUGAAUGAAUUUAUUGGAUGACCAAGGAAGGUAUGGGCCAGGGUUCAACAUUUGCCUAGUUUGUGGUGCCUUUGAACAAUGGAGACGGCCCCAUCUCUUGGGAUUAUUAACUCUACUGUCCUCUGGUGAACUAAAUAGGGCUUCACCCAACACUAACAGUAUCUGA